rnacentral:rRNA from 1 species
GACGAACGCUGGCGGCGUGCCUAAUGCAUGCAAGUCGCACGCAGUCGCUUCGGCGACUGAGUGGCGCACGGCUGAGGAACACGUGGGUACCUGCCCUGCAGUGGGGGAUAACAGCGCGAA